rnacentral:lncRNA from 1 species
GAGAGACAGCAGGGAUGUGGUGAAAAAUCAUGUGGGAGAUGCUGAAAGCAAUGAUACUCUAUUAUAUCAUUAGGCUACAAACCAAAAUAAAAAGGAAAUGAGGUGCACAACUGGAGGCUAGCAGAUGUUGCCCAUUGAUUAGACUAGGCUAUUAUUUCUGCAUGUAAAUGUAGUCUUCUGAACCUGGCUGGAGAAACAGACAUCAAUAACCUUCAAGACUUAGACUGGUUCGUAACUGCAGUUCUCCAGCUGGAGGGCCUGCUGGGCUAGAGAGUCUUCUUUUUUAUACUAAAUCCUGUGAUUCAAAUUAAAGAAGACAUGGAGAAUCCAGUGUUGAAACUUCAGCAAUAAGACAAAUCGCUUUGGAUGUGUCACCACUUAUUCUGCAUGUAUUCCAUCUGUAGAAGAGAAACAAGCCUCCAUCUAGAUAAGAACCUACAGAACUAGUUUUAUGUCUGAGAGUAGUGCUUCCAUUUGGGAAUACCUUCCAGUGUUUUUUUCCUCAAAACAUAUAUUUCUGAAUCUCAACUCUUUAGGAAAAUAAGUCCAAAAACUGUAAAAACAGCCAAAAGUUAUACACUAUUCAGAUGCAAACAUAGAGACAUUAAUGCUUUGAAGGAAUCUGGGAAUUGCUUUCUUUUCUAAAAAGAAAGUCCCAGUGCCCUACCCCCUUCUUAUUCCAAAAAUGAUGUACAUAUAUCUCAUUUUGCUUGUCUUUAGAAUCUUCCAUAUAGAUUCCCCCCACAUUUUAAUUAAAUUUGACUUUCUUCUGUUAACAUAUAUCAUUUGAAUUUAAUCCUUAUACUAGCCAGAAGAAUCUAGAAUGGUAGAGGAUUUCGUUUCCUUUCUUGAGACUUCUUAUCCUUACUUUGCAAAGAAAGGGAAGAAUACAAAGCAAAUGACCAUAUAUUUCCUUUCUAAUAAAGUUAGAAUUGGAGGGAGGUCACCAAAGUGUUUAAUAGCCCAGACAGUCUUGAGUUGGAAUCCUGCGUCUAUACUUGCUCAUUAUAUAAUUUUGCAAAAUUAAUAAUGCUCUGGAAUCCUUAAUUUAUUCUUGUGUGAAUGGUGAUACUGAGAAUGAGAGUUCUACGAGAAUGCUGUAGAUUAGGUAUAGAUAAGAUAAAGUGCAAAGUGUCAUACUAUACAUUGCCUACAGAAAGGGUUUAAAGAGUAUUAACAAAAAUUACCAUAAACAAUUGUAAUGCAAUGUAUAAUGCAAAGUGAUGACUCUAGAAGAGAUGUAUAGAUACUGUUCUGGAAACUCAGAACCAGGAACAAUUAAUUUUGCCUGGAGGAUUUAGCAAGACCUUUACUAAGUAGAGGGACUGGAUCACAAAAAGAGAUAGGAAUUCAUCAAUUAGGACGAGUGCCAAGUCAGAGAAAAACACCCAUUCCGGCAAGAGAUAUAGCCUCUGAAUCUUGGCACUGAGCUUGUUAGACAAUCAGAACUUAUUUAUUGAAUUAAAUUGAAUUCCAGGAAUUCAAAAGAAUUAGGUGUACUCAAAAACGUGAAUUUUUCAGUAUGAAUAGAGAACGUAAUCUUCAAGAAAGUGGUAGAAGGAGGCAGAAAGAUUUUUAAGGGAAUCUGAUCCUUACUUUAUACUAGAGACCUGUACUAUAAAAAUUUGUAUUCUCCUCAAAGUGCACAUAUCUAUCACCAACCAAAGAAUGGCCAAAAUAAAUACUUUUAAGAAAAUUCUUUAGGAAACUAUGCGAGGAUUUUGAGUUGAAUGAAAAUAUGAUCAGAUUUUUUAGUUUUAAAGAAAAACAUUGUUUCAUGACACCUGCAUCUUGGGGAUGCCUAAAAGAUACAUAAUUUUACCUUUCACUAAUUUAAAUUUCUGCCUAAAAUAUUACUUUGUAAUAGGCAAAGAAAUAUCUAAUGGCCUUUUCAAUACAGUAUGCAAAGUUGAACAACUCG